rnacentral:pre_miRNA from 1 species
AAAAAGGCAAACCCUGGGUUUCCGUGUCCAACUUUGACUGUCCGUCUUAUAUGAAAUUUUUUUAUAAUUCGUAUUUUCAUUGUUGUUAGAUGAUAAAAUAUGAUUAAUAUUUUAUGUGUGACUUGUAUUUUUAAUUUUUUUCAUAAUUUUUUCAAAUAAAACGAAUGGUCAAACGUUGGACACGGAAACCAGGGUUUGUCUUUUU